GACGAACCGUGCGAACGUUAUUCGGAAUCACUGGGCUUAAAGCGCGUGUAGGCGGGACGGCACGUCGGUCGUUGAAAUCCCCCGGCUCAACCGGGGAACGGGCGCCGAUACGACCGUCCUGGAGGGACGUAGGGGGACCUGGAACUUCCGGUGGAGCGGUGAAAUGCGUUGAGAUCGGAAGGAACGCCCGUGGCGAAAGCGAGGUCCUGGACGUUUUCUGACGCUGAGGAGCGAAAGCGUGGGGAGCGAACAGG
rnacentral:rRNA from 1 species